CUUACUGAAUUCAAUUUCUAGGAUCAAAUCCUUAGCAUCUAUAUAUUAUAGUUCUAAUAACCUGAUUGAAACUCUAAGUCUAGCACCCCUCUUCCAUCGUUAGCUCCUCUAUUUAUUUAAUGUUUUUUAUUUACUUAUUUAUAUUAUUUAUUUUCUAGUUUAAAAUGAUAGCAAUAAGUUUAUGGGAAAUUGGGUUGUAUAACCAUCAAUCAAAUUAUAAUUUAAU
rnacentral:lncRNA from 1 species